GCGCACCGGCUGCGGGAACGACUGAGACGGAGCGCGGCCGGAGCUCCUCGCACCGCUGCUUCUGAAAAGCCUGCCGCUGCCAGGAGGUACAAACGAGGCGAUAGGAGCAGGGGCUCAGCUGGGAAUUCGCCCACUGAACAGCACGGGAACUGCGUGUAAACGGGCUUGCCUCAAUACAGCCAACCUGCAGCCGGCAGCGCCCAGCGUGCACCUCCCCGGCACAGCCUCGUCGUCAACACCAGCGCUCCCAACCGCACUGGAAGGAAACCAACCUCCAUGCCACCAGUUCAUCGGGUGGUGGCGUGGGGUAAGCAAACAAACAAGCUGGUUCAACAGGAAUUACAGAUGAGAAGGCCACAUCGGUACACUGAAAUUCAAGCAUUAGAGCAGACACUUAUCAAUUUUGGAAUGGCCAACUAGAAACCAAGAGAAAGCACAAAGUGCGGUGCUCAGUGAGGACUUACACUGCAUGGCAGGAGAGACUGAGCCGCUCUCCUCCUCCCUGCUGCACUGUGCACAAUGCAUCUUCAUACCAGCAAGAAGCCCACACUAUCUUUCUGUCAAAAAAAAAAAGCUACCAAAAUCUUGUUAUCCGAGAGGUGGCAAAGCUUGCAUCUGCACCCACAGAGCAGAGAUGGAUGCCAAUAGCAGCCAUACUGUACAUUUCCCCACUGCACUUUCAAAGUGCUGCUCACUUUCCCCACCAUGCCGACAGGCUGGCAGCACCUGUGUGUAAAAAAGCAUGAGCAGCAGAAGAAUGGGUAACACCCAUCCCUCCUCAUCACAGGAUGUAUGCACAAAAAAUGGAUCACUACACCUGCCUCUCUGAUACUGCCUUCGUGCUCAUCUGCACCAGUGACUUUUAGUCACAUGCAGCUCUAUCUGCCAUGGAUUACCCCAGUAUUUCCCACACCUUGGUUCAACCAUACUCGUUCUGUCAUUCUGUUCUCUUGCCCCAUGUUUUCCGAAUCCUUUCCAGCUCCUGUAGCAUUAUCUUUAGUCGAUAACCUGACAUCCAUUCAAAAAAGGUUCCCUUUCAUCUUCUUUUCUGAAAUGAGUAAUGUUUUCCACUUGCAAACACUCAGGUUUUCUUACUUGUACCAAAAGAGCCAAGGAUCUCCUCAUUCAAUGUCACAUGACAGCAUUUUGUAUUUUUAAUGGAGUAAUUUCCUAUGCACUUCCUUCAGUGAGUCACUGAGUAGCAUUAUCAGGGGUUCUCCAGGGGGAUACUUAGUAGAUGGUUUACAAGAAAAGCUCAGGAACAUGCAGAAAUUAGCUUUGUAAUGAAGAAUUUCCUUUCUUUAUACUGCUAGGAAGGAGGAAGGGGAGAGGUGUUUGUGACUUGGUUUUCUAUAGAACACAAAGAAUCCAUUCCAGUUACUGUGUCAAGUUUCCAAAGCUGAGAAGUUAACAGACACAUUGAUCAGAGAGAUCAACAUCAGAUACAGAACUCAUUUAUUAAAAUUAGCUUUUUAGUUUGGUUUUCUAAGGAACUGAGGAUGAAAUUUUAUUUCUUUUGUCUGUCCUGCAAAUCCCCUUCAAGCACUUCCAGAUUUGGGUAUUAAGAAUUUCAAUUAAAACUGAUUAGAAAGUGGAAUUCAGGAACAGUUCUACAUCCAUACAAGUUUUGUAGCAAUUAGCACUUACAAAGAGAGACUAAAAUUAAGAAAAGCUGCAGUGGGAACUCAGCAGUUACCAGUUCUGGAGGCUAUGUCUUCAUUAGCUGCAAGUACCAGCCAUGCAAUCUGCAUGUGUGCGGCUGAAUCAGCUUCUGUGACUGCUGUCUCCUGUUAUGCCAGUAUUAAGGGAAGGUGGGAGGGAGCUGAGGAGAAAGCAGAGGGCGGUACAAAGAGAAAGGCAGACACCAUUAUUACCGUUUUACAGAUGAAGACCUCAAAUACUUAGAUAAAAGAUGCUGAGUCAAACAAGCUGGACAAGCCAAUCGAGCUGCAGUCACCUCCCGUGCACUGCCAUUUCCCCCGCUCACUCCAGCUCAUGUGCUCCCACUCCCUCACUGCACCAGCACUGGUCUGCUCCUUAAGGAACCACCUUAGUUCAUUAAUCAGCUCACUUUCUUGUGCUAGUUAGUGUUCUGCCAGAUAAGGAUACAGAAGGAUAGACCAAAAAAAAAAGCCACAAAAAGCACCUAAGGCUUAGGUAAACUCUAACUGGCAGAUGGUGCAGAACUGCACAGCCAGCAAGGAGGGAGGAAGAACAGGACCAUUAGAGAGGGAAGAGAGCUGAUCCUUUUGAGCAGCAAGCUGUUGAGCUGUUCAGUUGCGUGAGCCACCUCCUGCUUACUUUAGAAGUCCAUUAAGAAGCAGUGAUCGACAUUGUUUUAUUGCAGGCAUUUACCUGAGGCUUCUGAAUUAGUCAACUGAAAAGCAGGAUUCUACUCCUACAUUUUCCCACUGACUCUACAGGCAACUUCAGCUUCUAACUCAAGUUAGACAGUGAAAAAAAAAACAAAAACCAACAACACUAACAUUAAUGCUUUUGAAAUCUUUCUGAGCUUCGAGACAUGCAGCCAGGCACCUUGGGAUUUUUUAGAGAUGCCUAAACAGAUUCUAGUACUUUACCAACCAAUAGAUGCUUUCAAAUUCCCCACUGGUAUUUUCAGAUGCUUACAUGCCCUUGAAGAGCUAAGUGUGUUGUCUAAGGUCACAGAGAAAAUUAUGUAAGAGUAAAGAACAGAAUGUGCAUCUUUCCAGAGAAGUACUCUAAAUACUGGACUGUGUUCUCUGUGCAACAUACCUUGCUGUCACUUAGCCUCUACAUGGAUUCUGUUCUUCGAUCCAUUAAGUAAACUGGGUUUAGACAAAAAAGCUAAAUUACCUCUGGGAACUUAAGGCAUUAGGGCCAAAAUGGCAAAUUCAUUUCUAAGAAUGAGGUUUGGAAAGAUCAGCUAUGAGUUGGCUAGUAUUUACUGCAGAUGAACUUCAGUACCACCACUAUAUGUGCAUCCUUACUGGGAAGGUCCCACCAAAGCGCUGAGUCAGAAACUUAUUUGGGUUUUAUCAGGUUCUCACAGGAUCACAUAUCAAGGAUGCACUGUGAGUAACAGCUGUGACCUUGACACAUAAAUCAUUUUUUUUUUCUUCUAAUCUGGUAUUCAGUGUAUGUCUUUAGAAGAUAAACUGCCUUUGUUGUCAACUAUAAAUAAGAGGUUUAAAAUGCGUGUCAAGAAUUAGUGUUAUCUCAGCGUGUGUCCUGCUUUGCCCUUUACCCCAGAUACUUUGCUGUGUCAAACAUGAUGAAAUUAUGCAAUCAGAGUUGAUUAAACACUGAAGUGUUUUUACGCAGACCAUCUUUACAUCAAUGUAAAUUGUGACCAAUUGUCAUGGCCAAAGUGCACAGUGUUCACGAAUAACUGCAAGGAUAUCAAAGAAUAUUAUGAAGAAACCAGAAUUAAAAUCUCUCAGCACUCUGAUACUUGGAAAAAGUUGUAGGAAUCAUCAGAAAAAAUUCAGUGAUUGAUAGCUGUGAUGUCAAUGAGCCACACUCUGAGAAGUGUAUAUGUUGUGCUGUGCACUGCCAGGCUUAUGCAGUAGAAGUCUGGGCCCAAAGAAUUUAAUUAUCUUCAUCAGUGUUAAAGCAUAUUGGUGAUUACUCGACAUUUGUCCAUGAGGGAUACUCAGGUUUCUUCCUGUACCCCUGGAAACCAGACAUUGCUCAUGCUCUCUUCAUUCCAAAAAUGCUAUUUUCUUUGUAUUUAUUUUCUACUCUGAUCACCGUAUCACAGGGCUCUCUGGCUGAGAAGUAUAGGAGAGGAUAGGACUCCCUUCAGCACAUAUCAAGAUCAUUUCUUAAUCAGCUGUUGGAUGCAAUUUGAUUUGAGAGGCACAAAGUACUGGCUCUUCUUCAGGAACUGAAUGCCUUAUCCCUUGUUAUGCUGCAGCCUCAAUCCUGGCACCAAUCAUUUCUGCAGUUAAAGCACACACCUGCAUCUGGACGCACUUUCUGACAAAAUCUCAUUAAAAUUGUGGUGGCUGUUUCAUAGAAACUCAGGACAUGCCUGGGAAAGAACACAAAGACAGUCAGCCAAAGGCACAAAAGGCACAACCUCAUAUUCACGUUAACAACGGCUUAAACAAAUUUCAGAAUCCUCCUGAAGAAAUCUGGAAUAAAAUAAAAACAAUUUUCUUCUGCUAGUCUUGUCCAGUAUAUUCAGGUGCAUGUAUUCUGGAUAUUUUAUUUCUCUUAUCCAUUGCCAAUAAACAAAUUUGUUUUACACGUGAGAUACAUCUCAGUCUAGCUGAGUUUUCUCAUGUCAUUUUAUUCUUUCAACAUUUUUAAACAAAUAAACAAGGUUUAACUAAGUCAAGCAAGCCUAUUUUUCUGUUGUUGGUGGUGGUGGUUUUUUUUUUUUUCCCACUUUUUGUGGUUAGGGUUGACGCAGAUUCUCCACAAUAUUCAGUUGUUUAUUCCAUGCCAAGCGACGCUGAUAGAGAGAGAUGUGAGCAGAUGAGUGAAUUCUCCACUUGAACUCUGGAGUAAAACACUGGAUCGUGCUGCCCUCUGCAGGCAAUGAUCUAGCAGCGGGAGGAAUUGUUCUGCAACAGCUCAAAGAAAUGGAAUUAUGCUGAGAUUUCUGUCUGAACACAGUAUUUGUGUGCUGCACCAGCAGUACAGCGACUGGCUUUCUGUUGCCGGCUGUUACUGCUGGAGAGGCAGAAGGAAAAGCGGGCUGCACAUGUCUGAUUGCAGCAGGUAAGUGCUCCGGGUAUGAAUUUCAGCUCAGUGUGACAGCACCUGGAAAAUCCCAGGGGACCCGAAUAACAGCUCCCAGAUACAGAGCCAGAGAAACUAAAUGGGUGGAGAUACUUGCGUUGAUACAUGAGCUGCCAGGCAGGAACCAAGCACUCCAGCACUGCUCAAGGAUCUAAUCAGAAACAGGUUCCUUUAUAUUAGGCAUAUUACAGACGCAGGUCUGCUUACUUCAGCAUUUCACUACGUGAGGACUCAGUGUCAAACCAGUCCUAAAGAGCCUGAGGCAAAGGAAUAGUGAUGAGCAACCAAAACAUUUCUGAGUGGCAUUGGGUCUGCUAUAGACUUCAUUCUCUUUGCUUUCUGUGAGUGGUGCCUCCAGCUCAGUUCCCUCAAGGCCAAGUGCAGAUGCUCAUUCCUACAGGGCUAAUAACUCAGAAUGGAUUACAAAGGAUCAAGACAUACGUGCCAUUUCUGGAAGCAGUUUGGCUCACAGUAUAGAUUUUGAGCAUACAAUUCUAUCUGAAAGCGUUCAGGUGACUCCAUCCAUCUUCACCUACAAAUAAAGUAAUGCAGUGGGGAUGUACUGUGACGUACCAGUGGUGAUGGUCAUUCCUGUGAGUUACUCAGGGACUCUUCCAAGAACUCAGCUGGAGCUCCCGAGAAGGAACUACGUGUCUUUUAACUCAAGCCUCUCCCUAAAUUCACUGUAGUUGUUGUAAAGAUGCAAAAAUCAUGUGGGAUGGGAUGGCUGCAGGGAUAAGUCUGUCUGAGAACUCAGACUCGUUCUGUAGCUUCAAACAACAUCAUUUGAGAACCAAACUGGACAAGUGAACAGCUAAGAUGAAGGGCUGUCGUGUGCAACAACCAAUGCUUUUACAAGCCAAGUAAAACCAAUUAAGCCCAGAACUAACAUUACUUCUUCGUAAUAUUAAUUCAUUCUAAACUAGAUAUAUAGGGUUGUUUAUCUUCCUCCAAGAAGGAUGUUAAAAGAUUCUCUCUGAUUCCUGCUGUUGUGCAUUUAACACAAGCAUGCAAUGCAGAUGAAACCAGGUCAGCCGUGCCCCCUGCUCUUGGGAACGGCUUCCUACCAACACCCAAGACAAAAACACAGCCCUUUCUCUGCCUGUCACCAAAUAUUGGUGAGCACUGCGGGACUUUUGUCAUGUAACUUCAUAUAUGGAGAAUUUUGUGACACAAAUAUUUUCUGUCUUUCUAGGUAACUGUGCUAUCAGUAAUAAUGUAAAAUUAAUUAUGAAUCCACUACCAAGUAUCUUACUUAACAAAUAUUUUACUUGCUUCAAAAUUAAAAUAUUUUACAUUGCCAACA